AGAGUUUGAUCCUGGCUCAGAUUGAACGCUGGCGGCAUGCCUUACACAUGCAAGUCGAACGGUAACGCGGGGCAACCUGGCGACGAGUGGCGAACGGGUGAGUAACGCAUCGGAACGUGCCCAGUAGUGGGGGAUAGCCCGGCGAAAGCCGGAUUAAUACCGCAUACGACCUACGGGUGAAAGCGGGGGACCGUAAGGCCUCGCGCUAUUGGAGCGGCCGAUGUCAGAUUAGGUAGUUGGUGGGGUAAAAGCCUACCAAGCCGACGAUCUGUAGCUGGUCUGAGAGGACGACCAGCCACACUGGGACUGAGACACGGCCCAGACUCCUACGGGAGGCAGCAGUGGGGAAUUUUGGACAAUGGGCGCAAGCCUGAUCCAGCCAUGCCGCGUGCGGGAUGAAGGCCUUCGGGUUGUAAACCGCUUUUGUCAGGGAAGAAACGCUCCGGGCCAAUACCCUGGGGUAAUGACGGUACCUGAAGAAUAAGCACCGGCUAACUACGUGCCAGCAGCCGCGGUAAUACGUANGGUGCAAGCGUUAAUCGGAAUUACUGGGCGUAAAGCGUGCGCAGGCG
rnacentral:rRNA from 1 species